rnacentral:tRNA from 1 species
CUUAAGGAAGCAAUAGUGCGUGGGAUUUAAGCUCCCAAGACGGUUUAACCCCUUAAGA